AUGUUCGUGGGGCCGCAUAUCACUUACGAGGUUCACAAGUGCACCGAGGUUGUGUUGCUAGUUAAGUUCGACUUCAAAUGGUCUACAUACAUAUGGGACUUUCCAAGGGCGAAGAUUUUUGUCCUCGACCCAACAAUGAACAAUGGUGACGAGUCUGAUAAGGUAAUUCAGCUCAGGCACAGGAAGGUUGCAGACGAGCUUCACAAGGCUAUAGAGAUAUGCAUAAAGUCAUUCUUCUCUGGAUGGGAGCCAGACAUGAGUAAACUGAAAAGGGACAUGAACCCGGGUGACGGUGUCAUGCAUGCUAGGAUGAACAUGCUUGUGGACUUGCUUGGUUCUGAAGGUAACAUUGGUCAUCUGCCUGCGAGGUACAAGGAUUGCCUUAUUAGCAAGAACGACAAGAUCAAGGAUUGA
rnacentral:rRNA from 1 species